rnacentral:rRNA from 1 species
AUUGAACGCUGGCGGCAGGCCUAACAAAUGCAAGUCGAACGAGUGGCGGAUGGGUGAGUAAUGUCUGGGAAACUGCCCGAUGGAGGGGGAUAACUACUGGAAACGGGAGAUAAUACCGCAUACCAUCGGAUGUGCCCAGAUGGGAUUAGCUAGUAGGUGGGGUAACGGCUCACCUAGGCGACGAUCCCUAGCUGGUAUGAGAGGAUGACCAGCUACACUGGAACUGGGACACGGUCCAGCCUCCUACGGGUGGCAGCAUUUGGGAAUAUUGCCCAAUGGGCGCAAUCCUGAUGCAGCCCUGCCGCGUGUAUGAAGAAGGCCUUCUGGUUGUAAAGUACUUUCAGCGAGGAGGCGUUCCUCGCAGAAGAAGCACCGGCUAACUCCGUGCCAGCAGCCGCGGUAAUUC